rnacentral:tRNA from 1 species
GAAUAUGAAGCGAUAUAUUGCAUUUAGUUUCGACCUAAUUUUAGGUAAUUUUACCCUU